CAAACGAGUUAUCUAGAACCUUCGGGGGACGAUAACGGCGUCGAGCGGCGGACGGGUGAGUAAUGCCUGGGAAAUUGCCCUGAUGUGGGGGAUAACCAUUGGAAACGAUGGCUAAUACCGCAUGAUGCCUACGGGCCAAAGAGGGGGACCUUCGGGCCUCUCGCGUCAGGAUAUGCCUAGGUGGGAUUAGCUAGUUGGUGAGGUAAGGGCUCACCAAGGCGACGAUCCCUAGCUGGUCUGAGAGGAUGAUCAGCCACACUGGAACUGAGACACGGUCCAGACUCCUACGGGAGGCAGCAGUGGGGAAUAUUGCACAAUGGGCGCAAGCCUGAUGCAGCCAUGCCGCGUGUGUGAAGAAGGCCUUCGGGUUGUAAAGCACUUUCAGUCGUGAGGAAGGUGGUGUCGUUAAUAGCGGCAUUAUUUGACGUUAGCGACAGAAGAAGCACCGGCUAACUCCGUGCCAGCAGCCGCGGUAAUACGGAGGGUGCGAGCGUUAAUCGGAAUUACUGGGCGUAAAGCGCAUGCAGGUGGUGUGUUAAGUCAGAUGUGAAAGCCCGGGGCUCAACCUCGGAAUAGCAUUUGAAACUGGCAGACUAGAGUACUGUAGAGGGGGGUAGAAUUUCAGGUGUAGCGGUGAAAUGCGUAGAGAUCUGAAGGAAUACCGGUGGCGAAGGCGGCCCCCUGGACAGAUACUGACACUCAGAUGCGAAAGCGUGGGGGAGCAAACAGGAUUAGAUACCCUGGUAGUCCACGCCGUAACGAUGUCUACUUGGAGGUUGUGGCCUUGAGCCGUGGCUUUCGGAGCUAACGCGUUAAGUAGACCGCCUGGGGAGUACGGUCGCAGAUUAAACUCAAUGAUUGACGGGGGCCCGCACAGCGUGGAGCAUGUGUUUAUUCGAUGCACGCGAGACUACUACUCUGACAUCAGAGACUUCAGAGAUGAUGGUG
rnacentral:rRNA from 1 species